GUCACAGGGGAAGUUUCUUAUAAUGGAUACAAACUGGUAGAGUUUGUUCCCCAGAAAACUUGUGCAUACAUAAGGCAAAAUGACUUUCACAUUUCUGAGAUGACAGUGAGGGAAACACUUGAUUUCUCGGCCGUUGUCAGGUCUAAGAAGUCAUGCAGAGAUGAUGAUGGAGGUCAGUAGAAGAGAGGCUGAGGCAGGAAUUGUCCCUGAUCCAGUAAUUAAUACUUACAUGAAGGCAACAUCUGUCAAAGGGCGAAGGGAAACGCUUCAAACCGACUACAUACUAAAAAUCCUUGGACUUGAUAUUUGUGCCGAAACCUUAUUGGUGAUGCUCUAAAAAGAGGUAUCUCUGGUGGCCAGAAGAAAAGAUUGAGUACAGUUAGUGAUUUGCUGGUGUAUGUAAAUAGCAAAGUUUAGCUGGGAACUAAUUAUCCCAAAAUAGGUAAAUGCUAAAUCUUUUGGUCGGUUCUGAUUUCAGCUUGAAUAUGGUUUCUCUAACUAUGCAGGAGAGAUCGUUGUAGGUUCUGUAAAACUUUGUUUACGGAUGAAAUAACAAAUGGACUUGACAGUUCCACUGCAUUUCAGAUUGUUGCUCGUCUUCAGCAGCUUGUGCAUAUGAUAGAUGCAACAUUGUUGCUUUCACUGCUACAGCCCGCACCAAACUUUUGAUCUCUUUGACGAUGUUAUCUUGAUGGCAGAAGGGAAAAAUGUGUAUCAUGGAUCACGAGAUCACAUCCUCGAUUUUUUUUUCGAAAACUGUGGGUUUAGGUGUCCUCCAAGGAAAGCGGUCACGGACUUCCUUCAGGUGGAAAGUGAAAUCUAGUUUUUGAUCCCUUUCAUGCAGUGCAGCCUCCUGCUUCUUCAACUUUAAAGUAUUUACGUUUGUAUUUUUCAGGUGUUAUGCAAGCAAGAUCAAGCACAAUACUGGUACAGCACUGAGCUGCCCUACUCAUAUUUUCGGUGGAUAUGUUCCCCCAGAAAUUAAGGCAUCCCUCUUGGGAAAAAGAUUAGGAUCUCUUAGAACCAUAUGAUAAGUCCCAAUUCCAUAAAGAUUCCCUUUCCUUUAGUGAGUACUCUGUUUCUAAAUGGGAAAUCUUUAAAGCUUGCAUGUCAAGGGAGCCUCUACUUUUGAGAAGGAAUUCGAUCUUUUACGUAUUCAAAAUAAUUCAGCUUGUCAUUGUAGCGUGCGUCACAAUGUCUGUAUUUUACAAGACACGAUGGAUCGAUAUUGUUCAUGCGAAUUACUACCAUCCUCCACUGUUUUUCACUCUCAUCAUACUUGUGGUGGAUGAGUUUCCGGAGGUGUACAUGACAAUUUCAAGACUCCCAGUUUUCUAUAAGCAGAAAAUGUUAUGCUUUUACCCAGCUUGGGCGUAUGCAAUUCCAACAGCCAUUUUAAAGCUUCCUAUUUCUUUUUUGCAAUCCCUGAUUUGGACAUCUAUCACUUACUUCACAAUGGGAUAUGCUCCUGAGGUUUCAAGGUUUUUCUGUCAGUUUGUGACGUUUUUUGCGGUACAAGUGACAGCAAUAUCCUUGUUCCGAUUUGGCUUCCAUUUUCCAGAAUUUUAAUUCUUCAGUGGCAGCUUCUAGCCUCAUAAUCAUUUACACUGGUUAUUCUGUGGCUUCGUCAUUCCGUGGCCAUCCUGGCCUGGUUGGAUGAAGUGGCUUUUUUGGGUUUCUCCUAUGUCAUAUGCAGAGAUAGCGGAAACGAAUUUCUUCCUCGACGAUGGCAACAGAUGCUGACCAUGGGCAUUACAAUAGGACAAGCAACACUAGAGAGUCGUGGACUAAGCUUCGAUGAACAUCUUUUCUGGAUAGCAAUAGCUGCAUUGUUUGGUUUUGCUAUAGUUUAUAACAUAGGAUUCACGUUGGCCCUAGGUUUCUUGAAGCCACCGGGAUGGUCCCGUGUUAUGCUUACACGCACAAAGCUUUCUGGGAUACAGAAGGGGGAUUCUUGUGGGGUGAAGGCAUGGAGAGUGAAUCAAGCAAUUUGGAUUCUUCUGGCAGGAUGGUAUUACCUUUUGAACCUUUAACAUUAACCUUUCAGAACGUGCAAUACUAUAUCGACACCCCUUCGGAAUGAGAAAAAGAGGAUACUCUCAGAGAAAGUUGCAACUCCUUUCAAAUGUUACAGGAGCACUACGACCUGGUAUUCUAACAGCAUUGAUGGGUACUAGUGAAGCAGGAAAAAACGACUCUUCUCGAUGUCCUUGCAGGGAGAAAAACUACAGGCCGCAUAUACGGAGAAAUUAAAG